rnacentral:tRNA from 1 species
UCCCAUGUGGCUCAGUUGGUAGCGCAUGGUGUUUGCAACGCCAGGGUUGUGGGUUUGAUUCCCACAGGGGAC